UUACUUUGAUAGCACAUAUUCUAAAAUUGGAAGGAUACAGAGAAGAUUAAUGUGGCUCCUGAGUAUGGAUGACACAAAUUCAUGAAGUGUUCCAUAUUUUU
rnacentral:snRNA from 1 species